rnacentral:misc_RNA from 1 species
AUUUGUACAAAAGCCAGCUGAAGCAGAUAAGGAGGGUACGAAACAGAGGAGGUGCAGUAGACACUGGGACAAUAUAUGGUGAUGAAACAUCCAUAUCAUCCUAAAGUUAAUUGGAAAAGAGAAGCAUCAUUUGCAAUUUGUCAUCAUCAGAUAUAAAAUAAUAUACCCCAAAUUCACACCUUAUAUAUAAUAUAUAUUUUGUACAUAGCAUUAUAGGCCCACUCUCUUUGACCAAGCAAUCUCAGCCCCACCAAUGGAACAUCCCAAAUCACACCCAUAUUCUAAUCUACCAGCUAUCUCUGGCAAGAGAUAAUAAACUUAAAAAGAAAAAAUAAAAAGUUGAGCAGUAAACGUAUCAGCUUUGUGCCUCUGGAGACAAUUAAUGGAGCAGCCUUGUGUUUAUGUUCCCCAUCUACCAUCCCCACAAACCCAGUUCCAGCUUUUCUUCUCUGUUUUAAACACCUACCCUGUGAAAGGGAACUCAGAAUUAUAGAGUCAGCUACUGCUUCUCUUGCCUGCUAGUAUCAUUUGACCAAUCAGUUGCCGUUGAUAAUGCUGAAUAUUUGAUCAACUGUUGCUGCUAUUUCAUCCGCUGAUUCCAGCUUACAGUUAUCUUCUCUCUACCGUUGUUGUAUUGUAACCACAAAAUAUUUAAAAAGUAAAAAAAAGAAAUUAGGUAAUUAGGGUUUGGGAGAUUGAGGGAAGUCAAACUGGUUGACCAAAAGAAACAGCGAAGGAAAGGUACCUUAAGAUCGAAUGAAUAAAGAACUGUAGUUUCAGAAGACGUGAUGUUAAGGCGCAAAACUAUAAGCCUAAGAUCCUCCAAUGCAACGAUAGCUCUCAGCAACUGGCCUGUCCUCCUUUCACACUGAAUCUUUAAAUUUACAUGGUUUCGUGUGGCUGUCACCUCUAUCUCCGCGGCCUCUGAUUUUCUCUUCACUUCCUCUUCGCAAUUGCUGCCAUCCCUUGGGAAAUUACACUCUGCCUGCGGCGUAAACAAUCCGUUCGAUGAAAUGCCCAUGGAGGUCGCUGCUGCUUCUGUUUUUCUCAUUCUCUUUUGCGCUUCCAGAGACUGUAGAAGCUGCUCUAGUUCCUUCACGAAGUCUAUUGCACCUCCUAUAAUCGACGCUUGGUCACCCCUUUGAACGUAGGAGGGGGGCAUGAGAGAGCGGAGAGAGCUGAGGUGGUCGUUCAUUUGUCGACGGCGGUUACGUUCGACGGCAAUGUGGGUCAUGCGCUGAUUCUCUACUUCUUCUUUGUUCUUCGUUGGCCUUGUUCGCUUUCGCUUUCUUCGCUCCCUGGGGACUACCAGAGAAGAUUUAGAAAAGUGGGUCUCGUUGAGCAUGGUUUGUGGGUAAGUCCAUGGAAACGAGGAGACUGAGUUUUGUUCUUUGCAGAAGCAUCCUAUUGAGUUGGCUUGUCUUUGGUUAGACUCGGGGCUUACAUCUUCAAGACAGGAAUCUGAAUGUGGGUUCUGAAGUCCUUUGGUUUCAGAUUUGACUGGUGAGUGUAAAUCAGCUAUGUCGUGAGUCACACAACUCUCAAGCUCUAGCGCUUGAAUCUGGGUGUCCGUUUCAGUGAUAUAAGCGUUAAUAUCCCAUGGCCCUUUGAAGGGGAAAAAUGGUGGGGAUUCCACACUUUGUAACAUUUGAAGAAAAGGCAUUUUGUCUUCCAAACUUGGCAUUAAGAACUGAGGUUCUUCAAAUCUCAAGCUUUCUGUGUUUGCAUAUCCUCGUUCUAAGCCCUCUACAUCCAAAUGUUUACCUAAGAACUGCAAGAAAAACAGAAAAUAGGAAAAAGAAUUGUGAAGAAAAGAAACGAAACAAGGGAAAUUCUUGGGCUGGGUGGAUGGGAUGGAGGAUUGAGUCUCAAGAGGGAGAACAAAAGAAGAAUAAGAACAGAAUGUUAAAGAGGAGAAACAGCGAAGCAGAUAUUAGCAUUUCCAGUAAAACAACACAAAGCGUUAUAUGCAAGCGUUUGAAGAAGUAAAUGCAGUCCAUAUCUGGACUCUAUUAAAGGAAUUCAAGGAAAGAGAAAGCUAAAUUUAAGAAAGGUACUAGUAUGAGAAAAGUAACAUACACAAGGAUCAAUGGGGCCUUUGCGCCUCUCCAUCACAGCUGAGCGGAAGUUGCAAGUGCCUUCAAUUCUCUCUCACCCAGGUACCAACAUUCCAUUGUGAAGCUGACAGAAUAAUGUAGUAAUAACUAGGCUAAAGCUUCAAAUUGCCCCCCUCAAGUUAGUUUUAAU